rnacentral:tRNA from 1 species
GGCCAGUUGGUCUAAUGGUAUGACGUCCGCACCACAUGUUGUACGAUAGGUGUUCGGAUACGUGUGCGAGUACGUGUUCGAGUACGUGUUCGGUACGUGUGGGAGUAGCGCGGAAGACGGGGGUUCAAUCCCUCCACUGGCCA